rnacentral:lncRNA from 1 species
GGAGACGUGGUUGUGCACCCAUGAAACUGACCUUGUUUGGGAGUCAUGGACAUAUGCAUGAUAUUUAAAGCCAUGAGAUUGGAUGAGAUCAUCAAAGGAAUGAGAUCAUCAAAGGAUGGAGAAGAGGACCAGCUACUUCUGCACGGUUGCCAAUGGAAACCAGAUAACUGGACUCUGACUGAAGCAGACAUGCCACCUUACGUCUUCCAUGAGAAGGACCGUAGGUUUCUGGCACAGUCCAAGUGUCCAGAGGAUUGUCAACACUCGUAUCAAUGGGCCCGUAGCUCCUGGAUUCCAGGGAGCUUUUCAAAUUGUGUAGAUUUCAAAGCAAUAAGUGGAGGUAAACCAAAGCAGACACAGGCCCUCCAACAAGCUUGUCAAGUUUGUCUCAAUGUGGAGAAGCAAAACCAAACUGACAGAUUCUUAACAAUCUGGACCAAUUUUCAAGAUCUCUCUCUUACAGCCAAAGGAAUUUGA